GCCAUGCUUUCAAAGCUGUGCCAUGCCAACGUCUGCCAGUGUGCAGAAGGUCCCUGCCCAAGACAAAAAUCAACUUUCAGUAAAACACUAACAGAAACCACGCGUGUUAGUUUUGUCUGCUACCAACCCACUGCAGAUUAUGUAUACGAAGUGGAGA